rnacentral:rRNA from 1 species
AGCGGGUCGAUGCCGGGGACGUCUAGCGGAACUGCCAGCGUAAGCUGCGAGGAAGGUGGGGAUGACGUCAAAUCAGCAUGGCCCUUACGUCCAGGGCUACACACGUGUUACAAUGGCCGGUACAGAGGGCAGCCACCCCGCGAGGGGGCGCGAAUCCCGAAAGCCGGUCCCAGUUCGGAUCGGAGUCUGCAACCCGACUCCGUGAAGCUGGAUUCGCUAGUAAUCGCGCAUCAGCCACGGCGCGGUGAAUACGUUCCCGGGCCUU